CCUACGGGAGGCAGCAGUGAGGAAUAUUGGUCAAUGGGCGCGAGCCUGAACCAGCCAAGUCGCGUGAAGGAAGACGGUCCUAUGGGUUGUAAACCUCUUUUGUAUGGGAGCAAAAUACGGCACGUAUAGUGCUUCGAGAGUACCCGAUGAAUAAGCAUCGGCUAACUCCGUGCCAGCAGCCGCGGUAAUACGGAGGAUCCGAGCGUUAUCCGGAUUUAUUGGGUUUAAAGGGUGCGCAGGCGGGAAGUUAAGUCAGUGGUGAAAUUUUGAGGCUCAACCGUCAACUAGCAGUUGAUACUGGUAUUCUUGAGUGAGUGAGAGGUAGGCGGAAUGCGUGGUGUAGCGGUGAAAUGCAUAGAUAUCACGCAGAACUCCGAUUGCGAAGGCAGCAUACCGGCGCGCAACUGACGCUGAUGCACGAAAGUGUGGGUAUCGAACAGGAUUAGAUACCCGGGUAGUC
rnacentral:rRNA from 1 species